AUCAUUUGGUAUAGGGUUAACAC
rnacentral:siRNA from 1 species